rnacentral:rRNA from 1 species
ACGGGUGAGGAAUACAUCGGAAUCUGCCUUGUUGUGGGGGAUAACGUAGGGAAACUUACGCUAAUACCGCAUAAGACCGAAAGGUGAAAGUGGGGGACCGCAAGGCCUCACGCGACAAGAUGAGCCGAUGUCGGAUUAGCUAGUUGGUGAGGUAAAGGCUCACCAAGGCGACGAUCCGUAGCUGGUCUGAGAGGAUGAUCAGCCACACUGGAACUGAGACACGGUCCAGACUCCUACGGGAGGCAGCAGUGGGGAAUAUUGGACAAUGGGCGCAAGCCUGAUCCAGCCAUGCCGCGUGUGUGAAGAAGGCCUUCGGGUUGUAAAGCACUUUUGUUGGGGAAGAAAUCGUACGGGUGAAUAUCCCGUGCGGAUGACGGUACCCAAAGAAUAAGCACCGGCUAACUUCGUGCCAGCAGCCGCGGUAAUACGAAGGGUGCAAGCGUUACUCGGAAUUACUGGGCGUAAAGCGUGCGUAGGCGGUUUGUUAAGUCUGUCGUGAAAGCCCUGGGCUCAACCUGGGAAUGGCGAUGGAUACUGGCAAGCUAGAGUACGGUAGAGGAUGGUGGAAUUCCCGGUGUAGCGG